UACGUAGGGUGCGAGCGUUGUCCGGAAUUAUUGGGCGUAAAGAGCUCGUAGGUGGUUUUUCGCGUUGUCCGUGAAAACUCACAGCUCAACUGUGGGCGUGCGGGCGAUACGGGCAGACUGGAGUACUGCAGGGGAGACUGGAAUUCCUGGUGUAGCGGUGGAAUGCGCAGAUAUCAGGAGGAACACCGGUGGCGAAGGCGGGUCUCUGGGCAGUAACUGACGCUGAGGAGCGAAAGCGUGGGGAGCGAACAGG
rnacentral:rRNA from 1 species